rnacentral:rRNA from 1 species
UACGUAGGGGGCAAGCGUUGUCCGGAUUCAUUGGGCGUAAAGAGCGUGUAGGCGGCCAGGUAGGUCGGUUGUGAAAACUGGAGGCUCAACCUUCAGAGGUCGACCGAAACCAUCUGGCUAGAGUCCGGGAGAGGAGAGUGGAAUUCCUGGUGUAGUGGUGAAAUGCGUAGAGAUCGGCAGGAACACCCAGGGGGAAACCAGUCGACUGGGCAUCUACUGACGCUGAGGUGCGAGAGCGUGGGGAGCGAACCGG